AUGAGAGAAUUUAAUGGACUAAUGGAUGGCCACAAUGUGGACGAUAUAAUAAUCCUUGGUAUCCUACGAACAUCCUUACAAGGAUAUCAUGUGCAGACUUUUCUUUGCUUCCGUUCAAGAUGUAUAUGUUCCUCAAGGAGCAACCAGCGUACAUCAUCUGUGGUCGAUUCUUGGAAUUUGAGUACGUGUACAAGUCUAGGCCACAAAUUUAAAAAUCAAAUGCAAGGAGAACAAUUUAUUUUCCAUCUCCAAGCAGUUGUGUCGCAGCCUCGUGAGGUCCCUUUCUUCAUCCAAAUUGAAGCACUUUAUGUUAGCUUAUCUUCGCUUUUGAAUUCAUAG
rnacentral:rRNA from 1 species